CAACCCUCAAGCCCCCGGGCUUGGUGUUGGAGAUCGGCGUGCCCUCCGGGGCGCGCCGGCUCCCAAAUAUAGUGGCGGUCUCGCUGUAGCUUCCUCUGCGUAGUAGCACACCUCGCACUGGGAAACAGCGUGGCCACGCCGUUAAACCCCCCACUUCUGAAA
rnacentral:misc_RNA from 1 species